UGCUGAUGAUGUGGACAGUCCCGAAGAAGAGCUUUGAACCUCUCCCAUGCAUGAUAUAAGUUCUCAUCUAGCUUCUGUUUGAAGCUCACAAUCUCACUACGCAGUCU
rfam:Capsicum annuum cultivar Zunla-1 chromosome 1, whole genome shotgun sequence